CGGAACGGGUGAGUAACGCGUGAGGAAUCUGCCUCAAAGGGGGGGACAACAGUUGGAAACGACUGCUAAUACCGCAUAAGCCCACGGCUCGGCAUCGAGCAGGGGGAAAAGGAGCAAUCCGCUUUGAGAUGGCCUCGCGUCCGAUUAGCUAGUUGGUGAGGUAACGGCCCACCAAGGCGACGAUCGGUAGCCGGACUGAGAGGUUGAACGGCCACAUUGGGACUGAGACACGGCCCAG
rnacentral:rRNA from 1 species